rnacentral:lncRNA from 1 species
GAUCAAAGUUUCUCUAGAUUUUUCAUGCGCGUCUCUAUGCUUUGCGUGUGCUGUUUUUCAUGCAGCUGCAUCUAAGAAUGGAUCAUGGCAGCCUUCAUUUUAUGUUUGAUUGGUAUACCCCAUAAUUGAAGAAACCAAAAAAAGGUUCUGUCUUGUGUUGUGUCGAAGAAAAUCAAUUGAUCACUCCAUUGUCUGAUUUGCUCG